rnacentral:rRNA from 1 species
GACGAACGCUGGCGGCGUGCCUAAUACAUGCAAGUAGAACGCUGAAGGAGGAGCUUGCUUCUCUGGAUGAGUUGCGAACGGGUGAGUAACGCGUAGGUAACCUGCCUGGUAGCGGGGGAUAACUAUUGGAAACGAUAGCUAAUACCGCAUAAUAGUAGAUGUUGCAUGACAUUUGCUUAAAAGGUGCAAUUGCAUCACUACCAGAUGGACCUGCGUUGUAUUAGCUAGUUGGUGAGGUAACGGCUCACCAAGGCGACGAUACAUAGCCGACCUGAGAGGGUGAUCGGCCACACUGGGACUGAGACACGGCCCAGACUCCUACGGGAGGCAGCAGUAGGGAAUCUUCGGCAAUGGACGGAAGUCUGACCGAGCAACGCCGCGUGAGUGAAGAAGGUUUUCGGAUCGUAAAGCUCUGUUGUAAGAGAAGAACGAGUGUGAGAGUGGAAAGUUCACACNGNGACG